rnacentral:rRNA from 1 species
CACGGUAGGGUGCGAGCGUUGUCCGGAAUUAUUGGGCGUAAAGAGCUCGUAGGCGGUGUGUCGCGUCGGCCGUGAAAACCUGCAGCUUAACUGUGGGCUUGCGGUCGAUACGGGCAUCACUGGAGUUCGGCAGGGGAGACUGGAAUUCCUGGUGUAGCGGUGAAAUGCGCAGAUAUCAGGAGGAACACCGGUGGCGAAGGCGGGUCUCUGGGCAGUAACUGACGCUGAGGAGCGAAAGCGUGGGGAGCGAACAGG